UGACAAGUCUCCAAUAUUAAAAGUAUGUAAAUAAAUAUUCAAGAAAACAAAAUAUAGUAAAAUAGUACGAAAAAAUUAUUAAAAAUAUGACUCAAAUUCAAGUUUAAUGGCGAAGCGACAUGGCUGUGGUUGUUCUAUUCGCCGCAGGACAUCAGAUUUCAUAAAAUUAAAGAAGAUGUUUAAUCAAUACAGAUCAUUGUUUUACAGUACUAUCACCUCUAAACCUUUUAUCUUAGUAACGUUAUCGCUCGUCCUAUUUUUUACCUUCCUGUUGCCGGACUUCUCUGAACGAAUCGACAGAAGUGCGGAAUUAAAGGAAAUGAAGAAAGUUUUGGAUAAGAUCACGCAAGAUAUAAUACAAGCUGAAAGAACCUGUUAUACAGCAGCUGAAGACAUCUACGCUAUAUACAAUUUGAACAACGUUUAUCGUGGAAUUUAACCUUGUCUUGAUUCAAGGAAAAGGUUCAAUUUUAUUGAAAUUAAGGGAAGUAUGCCAGUCCGUAAGAACUUUAUUUUGGAAUUAGCCAUUUUUGUCACUGUUAUACUUAUAACGUCGCAUAUUACCACUCAUCUUUGGGACAGACACUUUUUACGCCGUGAAAUUAAUAAUAUGAGAAAGAGCUUGCAUUCACUUAAGAAUACGAUGACGGAUAUAGGUACAGCGUACGAUACUUUACACAAAGAUGUAAAACAAAUAGUAAAACAGAAACCCUGCAAAAGCUGUUGCCACAGUCCAGAUCACACUCUUGACAGAAGAAAACAACAUGACAUAAACGUCGUGUCUAUGAUAGAGAAGAAAAAAGCCUCUAUGGUCUGUAAAGAAGUGCAGACCCGACAAAAUACAGCCUUUAACAAGUACUGCCUUACUACUAACGCCUCAACAAUAACUAGAUAUCCCCUUAGAUCAACGGGUGUAGGCAUUGAAACAAAAAAAUAUUAUGCAUAUAAGGACGAUUGCACUUGCAAAGACAUAAGACGAACAAUUAGAGUUUAAAAUAUUUAUUCGAUGUUUGUUUGCCGUUAAAUAAUUUAAACAUUUUUAUUUAU